rnacentral:pre_miRNA from 12 species
UUGUUCUUCAAAGUGGCUGUGAAAUGUAAAUUAGAAAUUCAUAUCACAGCCAGCUUUGAGGAGCGUCA